rnacentral:misc_RNA from 1 species
GAUGAAGAACGUAGCGAAAUGCGAUACUUGGUGUGAAUUGCAGAAUCCCGUGAACCAUCGAGUCUUUGAACGCAAGUUGCGCCCGAAGCCAUUAGGCCGAGGGCACGCCUGCCUGGGCGUCACACGUCGUUGCCCCCCCAUCUACUCCUUCGGGAUUGCGGGGGGCGGAUGAUGGCCUCCCGUGCGCCUCGCUGCGCGGUUGGCAUAAAUGCCAAGUCCUCGGCGACGCACGCCACGACAAUCGGUGGUUGCGAAACCUCGGUUGCCCGUCGUGUGCGGUCGUCGCGCAUUGAGGGCUCGAAAAAAUUGCCGGGUUCCGGCUCGGCUUUCAACGCGACCCCAGGUCAGGCGGGGUUACCCGCUGAAUUUAAGCAUAUCAAUAAGCGGAGGA